GAUGAAGAACGUAGCGAAAUGCGAUACGUAAUGUGAAUUGCAGAAUUCAGUGAAUCAUCGAAUCUUUGAACGCAUAUUGCGCUCUUUGGUAUUCCGAAGAGCAUGCUUGUUUGAGUAUCAGUAAACACCUCAACCUCUUCUUGAUUUUUCAAAAGGAGGGUCGACUUGAGCUAUCCCAACAACCUUUACCGGUCGGCGGGCGGCUUGAAAUGCAGGUGCAGCUGGACUUUUAUCUGAGCUAAAAGCAUAUCUAUUUAGUCCUCGUCAAACAGGAUUAUUACUUUUGCUGCAGCUAACAUAAAGGAUAAUUGUCCUCUUUGCUGACUGAUGCAGGAUUUUACGACACUUUAUGUGUUGUUCAACUCGAUCUCAAAUCAAGUAAGACUACCCGCUGAACUUAAGCAUAUCAAUAAGCGGAGGA
rnacentral:misc_RNA from 1 species